rnacentral:lncRNA from 1 species
UGCUGAUGGUGAUGGUGAUGAUGAAGGUGAUGGUGAUAAUGAUGUAAUGAUGGGGGUGCUGAUGGUGAUGGUGGUGAUGGAGGUGCUGGUGAUGAUGUAACGAUGGGGGUGCUGAUGGUGACGGUGAUGAUGGAGGUGGUGGUGAUAAUGAUGUAACGAUGGGGGUGCUGAUGGUGACGGUGGUGAUGGAGGUGAUGGUGAUAAUGACGUAAUGAUGGGGGUGCUGAUGGUGGUGGUGGUGAUGAUGAUGUAACGAUGAGUGACAAUGGUGAUGGAGAUGGUGAUGAUGUAACGAUGGGGGUGCUGAUGGUGACGGUGGUGAAGGAGAUGGUGAUGAGGUAAUGAUGGGGGUGCUGAUGGUGAUGAGGACCAUGUAACUGUGGUGAUGUUGGCGGUGGUGGCAAUGGAGAUGACUGUGAUGAUGGCAGU